GACAGAGGGUGCAAACGUUGUUCGGAAUUACUGGGCGUAAAGCGCGUGUAGGCGGCUCGGAAAGUCGGAUGUGAAAGCCCUGGGCUCAACCUAGGAAGUGCAUUCGAAACUUCCGAGCUGGAGUACUGGAGAGGAAGGCGGAAUUCUCGGUGUAGAGGUGAAAUUCGUAGAUAUCGAGAGGAACACCGGUGGCGAAGGCGGCCUUCUGGACAGUAACUGACGCUGAGACGCGAAAGCGUGGGGAGCGAACAGG
rnacentral:rRNA from 1 species